AUGCUUAACACAUGCAAGUCGAACGAGAAAGUUUCCUUCGGGAAGCGAGUAGAGUGGCGCACGGGUGAGUAACACGUAGGUAAUCUGUCCUCGAACCUGGAAUAACAUGGCGAAAGCGAUGCUAAUACCGGAUAAAGUUUUUUGAACUACGGUUUAAAAGAUGAAAGGCGGCUUCGGCAGUCGAUCGAGGGUGAGCCUGCGUCCCAUUAGCUAGUUGGUAAGGUAACGGCUUACCAAGGCAGCGAUGGGUAGCUGGUCUGAGAGGAUGAUCAGCCACACUGGAACUGAAACACGGUCCAGACUCCUACGGGAGGCAGCAGUGAGGAAUUUUGCGCAAUGGGGGAAACCCUGACGCAGCAAUGCCGCGUGAGUGAAGAAGGCCUUCGGGUCGUAAAGCUCUGUCAAAUAGGAAGAAUGUAUUUAUAGUUAAUAGCAUUAAAUAGUGACGGUACUAUUAGAGGAAGCACCGGCUAACUCCGUGCCAGCAGC
rnacentral:rRNA from 1 species